GACGAACGCUGGCGGCGUGCCUAAUACAUGCAAGUAGAACGCUGAAGGAGGAGCUUGCUUCUCUGGAUGAGUUGCGAACGGGUGAGUAACGCGUAGGUAACCUGCCUGGUAGCGGGGGAUAACUAUUGGAAACGAUAGCUAAUACCGCAUAAGAGUAGAUGUCGCAUGACAUUUGCUUAAAAGGUGCAAUUGCAUCACUACCAGAUGGACCUGCGUUGUAUUAGCUAGUUGGUGAGGUAACGGCUCACCAAGGCAACGAUACAUAGCCGACCUGAGAGGGUGAUCGGCCACACUGGGACUGAGACACGGCCCAGACUCCUACGGGAGGCAGCAGUAGGGAAUCUUCGGCAAUGGACGGAAGUCUGACCGAGCAACGCCGCGGGGGUGAAGAAGGUUUUCGGAUCGGAAAGCUCUGUUGUAAGAGAAGAACGAGUGUGAGAGUGGAAAGUUCACACUGUGACGGUAUCUUACCAGAAAGGGACGGCUAACUACGUG
rnacentral:rRNA from 1 species